rnacentral:rRNA from 1 species
UUGACGGGACCGCACAAGCGGUGGAUGAUGUGGAUUAAUUCGAUGCAACGCGAAAACCUUACCUACCCUUGACAUGUCUGGAACCUUGGUGAGAGCCGAGGGUGCCUUCGGGAGCCAGAACACAGGUGCUGCAUGGCUGUCGUCAGCUCGUGUCGUGAGAUGUUGGGUUAAGUCCCGCAACGAGCGCAACCCUUGUCAUUAGUUGCUACGAAAGGGCACUCUAAUGAGACUGCCGGUGACAAACCGGAGGAAGGUGGGGAUGACGUCAAGUCCUCAUGGCCCUUAUAGGUGGGGCUACACACGUCAUACAAUGGCUGGUACAAAGGGUUGCCAACCCGCGAGGGGGAGCCAAUCCCAUAAAGCCAGUCGUAGUCCGGAUCGCAGUCUGCAACUCGACUGCGUGAAGUCGGAAUCGCUAGUAAUCGUGGAUCAGCAUGUCACGGUGAAUACGUUCCCGGGUCUU